GAUCCUGGCUCAAGAUUGAACGCUGGCGGCAGGCCUAACACAUGCAAGUCGAGCGGUAACAGGGGUAGCUUGCUACCCGCUGACGAGCGGCGGACGGGUGAGUAACGCAUAGGAAUUUACCCGGUAGUGGGGGAUAACCUGGGAAACCCAGGCUAAUACCGCAUACGUCCUACGGGAGAAAGGGGGCUUUGGCUCCCGCUAUCGGAUGAGCCUAUGCCGGAUUAGCUNGUUGGUGAGGUAAUGGCUCACCAAGGCGACGAUCCGUAGCUGGUCUGAGAGGAUGAUCAGCCACAUCGGGACUGAGACACGGCCCGAACUCCUACGGGAGGCAGCAGUGGGGAAUAUUGGACAAUGGGGGCAACCCUGAUCCAGCCAUGCCGCGUGUGUGAAGAAGGCCCUCGGGUUGUAAAGCACUUUCAGCGAGGAAGAACGCCUAUCGGUAAUACCCGGCAGGAAAGACAUCACUCGCAGAAGAAG
rnacentral:rRNA from 1 species